rnacentral:sRNA from 1 species
AGUUCGAUGGGAUCGCAGUUGCGGGUGACCACCAGGUAGUCGCGCAGGGCGAUGCCGUGGCGGUUCUC